GGCGGGGAUCGAUUAGCAUGCUAGUCGUACGAGUUCAGACUCGUGGCGUAUAGCUCAGUAACACGUGGUCAAACCACCCUCUGGACCGGGAUACCCUCGGGAAACUGAGGUCAAUCCCGGAUACCGCUUUCACGUUGGAAAAACGGAAAGCUGGAAACGGUCCGCCGCCGGAGGACGUGACUGCGGCCGAUUAGGUAGACGGUGGGGUAACGGCCCACCGUGCCAAUAAUCGGUACGGGUUGUGAGAGCAAGAGCCCGGAGACGGAAUCUGAGACAAGAUUCCGGGCCCUACGGGGCGCAGCAGCCGCGAAACCUUUACACUGCACGACAGUGCGAUAAGGGGAUCCCGAGUGCGAGGGCAUACAGUCCUCGCUUUUCGUGACCGUAAGGUGGUCACAGAAUAAGGGCUGGGCAAGACCGGUGCCAGCCGCCGCGGUAAUACCGGCAGCCCGAGUGAUAGCCAAUUUUAUUGGGCCUAAAGCGUCCGUAGCCGGCCGAACGGGUCCGUCGGGAAAUCCACCCGCUUAACGGGUGGGCGUCCGGCGGAAACCAGUCGGCUUGGGGCCGGGAGACCAGAGGGGUACGUCCGGGGUAGGAGUG
rnacentral:rRNA from 1 species